AACGAACGCUGGCGGCAGGCUUAACACAUGCAAGUCGAACGCCCCGCAAGGGGAGUGGCAGACGGGUGAGUAACGCGUGGGAACAUACCCUUUUCUACGGAAUAGCUCUGGGAAACUGGAAUUAAUACCGUAUACGCCCUACGGGGGAAAGAUUUAUCGGGGAAGGAUUGGCCCGCGUUGGAUUAGCUAGUUGGUGGGGUAAAGGCCUACCAAGGCGACGAUCCAUAGCUGGUCUGAGAGGAUGAUCAGCCACAUUGGGACUGAGACACGGCCCAAACUCAUACGGGAGGAAGCAGUGGGGAAUAUUGGACAAUGGGCGCAAGCCUGAUCCAGCCAUGCCGCGUGAGUGAUGAAGGCCUUAGGGUUGUAAAGCUCUUUCACCGAUGAAGAUAAUGACGGUAGUCGGAGAAGAAGCCCCGGCUAACUUCGUGCCAGCAGCCGCCGUAACAC
rnacentral:rRNA from 1 species